UGGGUAACCUGCCUCAAAGAGGGGAAUAGCCUCCCGAAAGGGAGAUUAAUACCGCAUAAUAUGUUUAAGUCGCAUGACUUUAACAUCAAAGGAUUUUCUUUUAGAAAUUCCACUUUGAGAUGGACCCGCGGCGCAUUAGCUAGUUGGUGAGGUAACGGCUCACCAAGGCAACGAUACGUAGCCGACCUGAGAGGGUGAUCGGCCACACUGGGACUGAGACACGGCCCAGACUCCUACGGGAGCAG
rnacentral:rRNA from 1 species